UUUGAAACCAGAAAAGAAGAACACCCAUGAUUUAAACCCAAAAACAAAAAGAACACCAAAGACCCAAAGAACACAAAGGAAAGAUUGAUCUGAGCAAUGCUUGAGGACCCAUCAACAUUUAUUGUUGGCUUUCAUGUUUCCAUUAGCGUCCUUCGUUUGAACCCAAUAAACAAACCUGGUAGUGCCCAUAUUCCCAUGGUAUUUCAAUUUGAUGACACUGAUCAACAUCCUUUGAAUGUGGUUGUUUUUUUUUUUUCUUGAUUAGAAAAACAAUUUUUUGCUUGCGUUGUUGGUGGAGGGCAAGACUAAUAAUAACCGUGAUAGAUGGUGGCUCUGUGAAGCAGACGACAAGAUGGUUGGGAUGGUGUGGAAAGGGGAAAGGAAGAAGGGCAAUCUUUAGGGAAAAAACAUGAGGGAUUCGGGGCGGAUUUGGUGGAAAGCUCCACAACGGGAAUGAGGACGGGAAUUCUCCGAAAAUUAUUAUUAGGGAUGGAGGUGGAGACAGAGAUGGAGAUAAUAUUGCCGUAACCAGUCCCGAACCGGCCGUUGCCAUCUCUAGUUUGAAUUGAGC
rnacentral:lncRNA from 1 species